rnacentral:tRNA from 1 species
GAUUGGGUCAUUUAAUAUUAAAUAUUAUAAUUAAAAUAUUAUUUAAUUAACUGCCCCAGUUA